CCUACGGGAGGCAGCAGUGGGGAAUAUUGGGCAAUGGGCGCAAGCCUGACCCAGCAACGCCGCGUGAAGGAAGAAGGCUUUCGGGUUGUAAACUUCUUUUUAGAGGGAAGAGAAGAAGACGGUACCUCUUGAAUAAGCCACGGCUAACUACGUGCCAGCAGCCGCGGUAAUACGUAGGUGGCAAGCGGUGUCCGGAUUUACUGGGGGUAAAGGGCGUGCAGCCGGGCUGACAAGUCAGAGGUGAAAUCCCGCGGCUCAACCGCGGAACUGCAUUUGAAACUGUCAGUCUUGUGUACCGGAGAGGUCAGCGGAAUGCGUGGUGUAGCGGUGAAAUGCGUAGAUAUAAGGAAGAACACCGGUGGCGAAGGCAGAUGACUGGACGGCAACUGACGGUGAGGCGCGAAAGCGUGGGGAGCAAACAGGAUUAGAUACCCCAGUAGUC
rnacentral:rRNA from 1 species